rnacentral:rRNA from 1 species
GGACUUUGGGGCUGCAUUGGGGGCGCAAGGGCAGCUCUGUUCGUGGCGUCCGAUGACCGUCAUGAUGCAUGCGUGAUUGGACUUCAACCAGCAAUUAU